rnacentral:lncRNA from 1 species
AGGGGCGGGGCGCGCACGCUCAGCGGCGAGAUGGACGUGUGGUACAACCUGGACAAGAGGACGGACAAGUCAGCAGUGUCGGGCGCCAUCCGGCUCCACAUCAGCGUGGAGAUCAAAGGCGAGGAGAAGGUGGCCCCGUACCACGUCCAGUACACCUGCCUGCACGAGGUGCGCUCCCUGGGACCUGGCCCCGUGCUCACCUGCCCGCCCCUGCCUUCCUCUGUCUAGCUGUGGACAGCGUCUGUCUGCCCUGCCGUUCUGUCUGGAAUGCUCCUCCCCACCUGUUCUCCUCCAGGAAGCCCCCCCUUACUGAGCCUCACUAUGCAGUUCCAAGUCCUUUCUGCCCCAGCCCUGCACUCUUGAGGGGUGGGCUGCUUGUGGCUGGGUGCCUGGGGGCUCCUUGAGAGAGCUCCCCCACUGAACUUACUUGGUUGAAGGAAUUAUUGAAAGAAUGAAUGAAUGAGUUAGAGUAGAUAAAAGGACGGGUGGGCAAAUGGACAAGUCUGUGAGUGGAAAAGAAAUAAGCUAGUGGAUACAUAUAUGAACAGAUGGACACUGGGUGAUGGAUGGUAGACAGAUGAGCUGCUGGAUGUGGGUGGAUGGGUGAACAGGUGAAUGGAUGAAUAUAGAAGGAGAGAUGAGUACGCAUUAAUUUGGGGGUGGAUGGGUGGAUGGGUGGAUGGAUGAAUGGGUAGAUGGGUAGAAGAUGGAUGGAUGAAUAGAUAUGUGGUUGAACAAUUGGAAGGAGAGAUGAUGUAUGAGUUUUUUUUUGGGAUUUGGGGGUGCU